rnacentral:rRNA from 1 species
AGAGUUUGAUCCUGGCUCAGGACGAACGCUGGCGGCGUGCUUAACACAUGCAAGUCGAACGGGAUCCAUGUUGUAGCAAUACUUCGGAAGAUCUAGUGGCGAACGGGUGAGGAACACGUGAGAAACCUGCCCCGGACUUCGGGAUAACAGUUGGAAACGAUUGCUAAUACCGAAUACCUCUGCGAAGUGGCAUCACUUUGCAAAGAAAGAAUUUCGGUCCGGGAGGGUCUCGCGGCCUAUCAGCUAGUUGGUGGGGUAACGGCCUACCAAGGCAUCGACGGGUAGCUGGUCUGAGAGGAUGAUCAGCCACACUGGGACUGAGACACGGCCCAGACUCCUACGGGAGGCAGCAGUGGGGAAUCUUGUGCAAUGGGCGAAAGCCUGACACAGCAACGCCGCGUGCGGGAAGAAGGCCUUCGGGUCGUAAACCGCUUUCAGCAGGAACGAAAAUGACGGUACCUGCAGAAGAAGGUGCGGCCAACUACGUGCCAGCAGCCGCGGUGACACGUAGGCACCAAGCGUUGUCCGGAUUUAUUGGGCGUAAAGAGCUCGUAGGCGGUUCAGCAAGUCGGGUGUGAAAACUCUGGGCUUAACCCAGAGCCUGCACUCGAAACUGCUGUGACUAGAGUUCGGUAGGGGAGCGGGGAAUUCCUGGUGUAGCGGUGAAAUGCGCAGAUAUCAGGAGGAACACCGGUGGCGAAGGCGCCGCUCUGGGCCGAAACUGACGCUGAGGAGCGAAAGCGUGGGUAGCAAACAGGAUUAGAUACCCUGGUAGUCCACGCCGUAAACGUUGGGCACUA